rnacentral:lncRNA from 1 species
AUGUGGCGAUUCCGCUGCGUCCUCCACAGGCAGCCCUCCCAGGCGGGCCAGUCAGCAUCCCGUCCACCCCCAACCCCCUCCCCGCCUGCCUCGCUCAAAAGACUCCGAUCGCUCCACAGGCCCGGAUCCCCGUCGCCUUCAGUUUCGGGCCAGCAGGACCCUCGCCAGCCGAAAAAUCCAGGGCGCGAUGCCUUGCGGUCAAAACAGGUCUCUGGGAUGCGUCCUCCGGGAGCAUCCGAAGCCCUUGCGAAAACACGGGGCCUCGGAUCUGGCCCUUCUGCGGGCGCGCCCGGGGCCGCGGGGGUCCAUUCCCUCCCCGAAGGGAGACGCGUCCCUGCGGGAGAGGCAUCCCCCGUCUCGCCCCGGCUCACCUGGCGGAUCGGGGCGGGCCUCCAUCGCCGGCCAUGGAAGCUGCGGCGAAUGAGCGCCCCGCACCCCCUGGACAGGAUGAGGGCGGCAGCCAUUGCUGGCACCGUCCGAGGACGGGUGAGGGGGAAGAUCCGGGUGGGCGGCCGGCUGCAGCUGUCGGACGAAGGCCCGGAGGUGGGAGGGAAGGAAGGGAUCAGAAGGGAAGCGCAAAUCCCCGGCGGCUCCUCCUCGCCAUCUGCCCACAGAGGAGAGGAGGACGAGGAGGGGGGGCGGCGGUGGCGGCGGCACGGAGAGGAUCAUUGCCAACGUGGCUCUGCUGGAGCCGGAUUCAGCCGCAACCCUCCCGACGAAGAGCCAAAGACCGGCUCCUUGCUCGGCUCCCUCUGGGCGGUGCCACCCGGCUUGAGAUGCCGCUAUGCCUACUCACCCGGUGCAAUACAGCGACAUGCAAUGCAAUGCCGCCACGUGAAGUCCACCAACCACGAAAGGCACUCCCUCGCCGGCCGAGGCGGCCCUGCUCCCGGCUUAAAAAAGCUUUCCGAGGUCCCGCCCCUUCGGGGGACCGCGCUGAGACCAAUCGGCGUCUCGGUGGCCAUCGAUUGGCCGCCAAGCCGGAAGGAACGCGGGCCGGAGAGAGAAGAGGGAGGGGAGGAGUCGAGUGACUUUUGA